rnacentral:rRNA from 1 species
GUGAGUAGUUCUAGAGUUUGAUCCUGGCUCAGGACGAACGCUGGCGGCGUGCUUAACACAUGCAAGUCGAACGGGGUUAAGGAGCUUGCUUCUUAACUUAGUGGCGAACGGGUGAGUAACGCGUGAGGAACCUGCCUUUCAGUGGGGGACAACAGUUGGAAACGACUGCUAAUACCGCAUAAAACCGUAGUACCGCAUGGUACAUCGGUCAAAGAUUUAUUGCUGAAAGAUGGCCUCGCGUCUGAUUAGCUAGUUGGUGGGGUAACGGCCCACCAAGGCGACGAUCAGUAGCCGGACUGAGAGGUUGACCGGCCACAUUGGGACUGAGAUACGGCCCAG